rnacentral:lncRNA from 1 species
GGGACAAGCACAACGAGUUCGACUUCGAGUUCCUGGGGAACACGAGCGGCGAGCCGUACCUGGUGCAGACGAACCUGUACAUCGACGGCGUGGGCAACCGCGAGCAGCGCAUCGACCUGUGGUUCGACCCCACCACCGACUUCCACACCUACGCCGUGCUCUGGAACCCCAGCCAGGUGGUGUUCAUGGUCGACGACACCCCCAUCCGCGUCUACGAGAACACGUCCUCCCGCCACGUCCACGGCCACCACCGCCACGCCGCCAACACCAGCACCACCGACUCAUCGCCGCCGCCGUUCCCGGGGCCGCAGCCGAUGGCGGUGUACAGCUCGAUCUGGAACGCGGACGACUG